rnacentral:rRNA from 1 species
CAGGCUUAACACAUUGCAAGUCGAGGGGCAGCAUUUUAGUUUGCUUGCAAACUAAAGAUGGCGACCGGCGCACGGGUGAGUAACAAGUAUCCAACCUGCCGAUAACUCGGGGAUAGCCUUUCGAAAGAAAGAUUAAUAUCCGAUGGUAUAUUAAAACCGCAUGGUUUUACUAUUAAAGAAUUUCGGUUAUCGAUGGGGAUGCGUUCCAUUAGUUUGUUGGCGGGGUAACGGCCCACCAAGACUACGAUGGAUAGGGGUUCUGAGAGGAAGGUCCCCCACAUUGGAACUGAGACACGGUCCAAACUCCUACGGGAGGCAGCAGUGAGGAAUAUUGGUCAAUGGACGAGAGUCUGAACCAGCCAAGUAGCGUGAAGGAUGACUGCCCUAUGGGUUGUAAACUUCUUUUAUAUGGGAAUAAAGUAUUCCACGUGUGGGAUUUUGUAUGUACCAUAUGAAUAAGGAUCGGCUAACUCCGUGCCAGCAGCCGCGGUAAUACGGAGGAUCCGAGCGUUAUCCGGAUUUAUUGGGUUUAAAGGGAGCGUAGGUGGAUUGUUAAGUCAGUUGUGAAAGUUUGCGGCUCAACCGUAAAAUUGCAGUUGAAACUGGCAGUCUUGAGUACAGUAGAGGUGGGCGGAAUUCGUGGUGUAGCGGUGAAAUGCUUAGAUAUCACGAAGAA